AUUGAACGCUGGCGGCAUGCCUUACACAUGCAAGUCGAACGGCAGCAUGAUCUAGCUUGCUAGAUUGAUGGCGAGUGGCGAACGGGUGAGUAAUACAUCGGAACGUGCCCUGUAGUGGGGGAUAACUAGUCGAAAGAUUAGCUAAUACCGCAUACGACCUGAGGGUGAAAGUGGGGGACCGCAAGGCCUCAUGCUAUAGGAGCGGCCGAUGUCUGAUUAGCUAGUUGGUGAGGUAAAGGCUCACCAAGGCGACGAUCAGUAGCUGGUCUGAGAGGACGAUCAGCAACACUGGGACUGAGAGACGGCCAAGACUCCUACGGGAGGCAGCAGUGGGGAAUUUUGGACAAUGGGCGAAAGCCUGAUCCAGCAAUGCCGCGUGUGUGAAGAAGGCCUUCGGGUUGUAAAGCACUUUUGUCCGGAAAGAAAUGGCUCUGGUUAAUACCUGGGGCCGAUGACGGUACCGGAAGAAUAAGGACCGGCUAACUACGUGCCAGCAGCCGCCGUAA
rnacentral:rRNA from 1 species